rnacentral:rRNA from 1 species
UCGAACGAGAAAUUUAUUUCUAGUGGCGAACGGGUGAGUAACGUAUUUCUAACGUACCCCGGAGAGAGGAAUAACUAUUGGAAACGAUAGCUAAUACCUCAUAGGAUGUUGGAGGGCAUCCUCUAAUGUUUAAAGGUGCGUUUGCACCACUCCGGGAUCGGGAAAUAUCACAUUAGCUUGUUGGUGGGGUAAUGGCCCACCAAGGCAAUGAUGUGUAGCCGAGCUGAGAGGUUGAUCGGCCACAAUGGGACUGAGACACGGCCCAUACUCCUACGGGAGGCAGCAGUAGGGAAUUUUCCACAAUGGACGAAAGUCUGAUGGAGCAAUGCCGCGUGAGGGAUGACGGUCUUCGGACUGUAAACCUCUGUUGUAAGGGAAGAAUAGCCUGUAUAGGAAAUGAUACAGGUCUGACGGUACCUUACCAGAAAGUCACGGCUAACUAUGUGCCAGCAGCCGCGGUAAUACAUAGGUGGCGAGCGUUAUCCGGAUUUAUUGGGCGUAAAGAGUGCACAGGUGGUUUGUCAAGUCAGGUGUUAAAGCCCGGGGCUCAACCCCGGUUCGCAUUUGAAACUGACAGACUAGAGUAUCGGUGGGGUUAGUAGAAUUCCAUGUGUAGCGGUGGAAUGCAUAAAUAUAUGGAGGAAUACCAGUGGCGAA